GAUUGAACGCUGGCGGCAGGCCUAACACAUGCAAGUCGAACGGUAACAGGAAGAAGCUUGCUUCUUUGCUGACGAGUGGCGGACGGGUGAGUAAUGUCUGGGAAACUGCCUGAUGGAGGGGGAUAACUACUGGAAACGGUAGCUAAUACCGCAUAACGUCGCAAGACCAAAGAGGGGGACCUUCGGGCCUCUUGCCAUCGGAUGUGCCCAGAUGGGAUUAGCUAGUAGGUGGGGUAACGGCUCACCUAGGCGACGAUCCCUAGCUGGUCUGAGAGGAUGACCAGCCACACUGGAACUGAGACACGGUCCAGACUCCUACGGGAGGCAGCAGUGGGGAAUAUUGCACAAUGGGCGCAAGCCUGAUGCAGCCAUGCCGCGUGUAUGAAGAAGGCCUUCGGGUUGUAAAGUACUUUCAGCGGGGAGGAAGGGAGUAAAGUUAAUACCUUGGCUCAUUGACGUUACCCGCAGAAGAAGCACCGGCUAACUCCGUG
rnacentral:rRNA from 1 species